GGGCCCGCACAAGCGGUGGAGUAUGUGGUUUAAUUCGAUGCAACGCGAAGAACCUUACCAGGGUUUGACAUCCUGCGAAUCUCUUGGAAACAGGAGAGUGCCUUCGGGAACGCAGUGACAGGUGGUGCAUGGCUGUCGUCAGCUCGUGUCGUGAGAUGUUGGGUUAAGUCCCGCAACGAGCGCAACCCACGUCUUUAGUUGCCAGCAUUUAGUUGGGCACUCUAGAGAGACUGCCGGUGAUAAACCGGAGGAAGGUGUGGAUGACGUCAAGUCAUCAUGCCCCUUACAUCCUGGGCUACACACGUACUACAAUGCUACGGACAAAGGGCAGCAAGUUCGCGAGUAGGAGCG
rnacentral:rRNA from 1 species